GUGGCAGACGGGUGAGUAACGCGUGGGAACGUACCUUUCACUACGGAAUAGCUCUGGGAAACUGGUGGUAAUACCGUAUACGCCCUCCGGGGGAAAGAUUUAUCGGUGAAAGAUCGGCCCGCGUUGGAUUAGCUAGUUGGUGAGGUAAUGGCUCACAAAGGCGACGAUCCAUAGCUGGUCUGAGAGGAUGAUCAGCCACACUGGGACUGAGACACGGCCCAGACUCCUACGGGAGGCAGCAGUGGGGAAUCUUGCACAAUGGGCGAAAGCCUGAUGCAGCCAUGCCGCGUGAAUGAUGAAGGCCUUAGGGUUGUAAAAUUCUUUCGUCAGGGAUGAUAAUGACCGUACCUGAAGAAGAAGCCCCGGCUAACUUCGUGCCAGCAGCCGCGGUAAUACGAAGGGGGCUAGCGUUGUUCGGAAUUACUGGGCGUAAAGCGCACGUAGGCGGACUUUUAAGUCAGGUGUGAAAUCCCGGGGCUCAACCUCGGAACUGCAUUUGAAACUGGAAGUCUGGAGAUCAGGAGAGGUUAGCGGAAUACCGAGUGUAGAGGUGAAAUUCGUAGGUAUUCGGUGGAACACCAGUGGCGAAGGCGGCUAACUGGACUGAUACUGACGCUGAGGUGCGAAAGUGUGGGGAGCAAACAGGAUUAGAUACCCUGGUAGUCCAC
rnacentral:rRNA from 1 species